AAAAUCAAGCGGGAAAAAACUGAAAAAACCAAACAGCCACGAUGAUAACUUGACAAUAAUCAAGUCAAAUUUUUCGUUUCCGUUUAAUAAACAAGAGCGAGGGAGUGAGCGAAAGAGAGAGAGAGAGAGAGAGAGAGGGAACGAGAGAGCGAGCAGGAGCAUCUACAUAUGUGUUUUUGUUGUUUCCUGCAUGCAAUUUAUGCUGCAAGCUUCGGCUGUCGCAGUCGCACGCACACUUAAACAGCCUUCUAUGAGGGAUUUCCGGUGCGUGUCGCAGUCGCUGCCAUGUUACACA
ensembl:ncRNA lncRNA:CR46153 long non-coding RNA:CR46153